GCUGUGUUUUCGUUUCGUGUGCUGUUUCAUUGCAUUGUUGGACAAUCAAUUUUCUUCAAGCGUUUGAUUUAUAUCGUGAAUCAUUAUUGUACAGGUGAAAAUGGGAGCAAAAAGAAAAUCUACUAUCCGCACCCGUUCUCAACGGCAGGUACGUAUUACCCAAGCGAAAAAAGAUUUAUCGUCAGACGAAGAGGACCGGGGCGUAACGCCAACCCCUCCUCCAACAAACACUGGUAAAGUGCGACGCCGGGCGCUUCGUAAACGAUUGCAAGUCUUGGCAAGCAGCGUUGAUGACACAGUAUCGGAGGAUGGUAAGACAACGACCAACGGUGGUUCAGUCGAAAGUGGCGACAAGGACGAUGACUCGGAUUCAACGACAGAUGACCCGAUUGAGCGGAUGAAGGCAACAGACCGGCUGCCGCUUAUGAUCAUGGAAGUGCGCAAAAUGAGCGAAGAGAUCGCAAUGGUUUGCGAUGCGUUGGAGCAAGCACUCAUCAGUGAUGCGUCCGAUCAGGAUUUAGAAUUGGAGAGCCUUAAAAAGAAAUUGACCAACUUGACCGAGAGGUGUUAUCAUAAAGUAGUGCCUGUAGCCGCUAUUGCACCUGUAACAGCGAAAAUAAAAACGAGAAAAAAUAAACUAGCUGAUCGAGCGAGCCGGAUUCGUAAGGAGGCAGUCGCACCCGAUGAUAUACAAUCUACACCCAUGAAACGAGUGGAUCGUUCUAGCAGCGUAGAUUAUACCGAAUACGUAUCACCGGAAGGCAAAGUGGCCGAAAGUGCACCUGCAGAUGAAUCCACGAAGGACAGUGGUAAUCCGUCUUCAGGACAUGAUGAAUCUGUGACAAUGAUAAAGGCUACCGAAGAACUUCCAACCUACGUCGAGCUAGAUUGCUGUUCUCCAACGCCGGUUUUCAAUGAAUAUGAACCGGAAUCGAUUCGCGAAGUACAGGGCGACGUCACUGGAGAACCAUUUGUCGAUUUGAAUCCAGAUUCCGUUGAGGGCCUUGUAGCGAAUGAUGACUCGGAGAACUUUUACGAUCCAAGUUUGUUCAAAGAAUCCGAUAUUGAAGAGGGUGCCCUUAAAAUUCAGGAAAGCAGCGCAUCGGACAAGGCAGAUGAUCCAGUUAUUAAUGAUGACAUAUUUAACAUGCAUAGCUAUGCCACUCCAAAUAAUCGUGAGUCGGUUCGACCCGUGGCUCCAAGAUUUUCCCUACACGAUAUCAGUAAUGAAACAGCUAAACUACAGAAGCAACAGUCGAACGAUACUCCGGUGGGGAUGGAGACCCGUCGAACUGGGCACCGAAGAUUAAUAACAGAUGCUGAACCGAAUUUCUCGACUCCCUCAACGGCUACUGAAGAAAAACCUGUUAAUAUUGAACCAGAAACUGAACCGUAUAUCUUGUAUCAACCAUCCGAACCUACCUCAACCCAAAUCAAAGAUAAACCCGACUUGGACACUCUCUAUCAAGCGGAACCCAGUACUUCGAAGGAUUCAAACGUUCAAUUGAUUUCCAUGAAUGAUGGAUCGAGUAAAUCGAAAUUCGUAACCAACACCGAUCCGAAUCCGAACCGGGAGCCGACAAACGAAGAAAUACGCUACAUAGUUCCUCACCUGCCGAAGUUUAGUGUAACUCAAACACCUCAAGGAGAAAACUACGAACUAUCGCUGAUGAAGAGGGAUAUUGAAAUGCGUUUGCGAGUAAAUGACCUUUCUUGGGUGACCCAGCGAGCGAUUCGUAACGAGACUACUCGAAUGAAGGAAAUUGUCCGGAGCAAUAAACGGUUGGAACUGGAAAUGAAACGCUUUGGUGAUGUGCUGUCGGCUAAUCAGUUGAUUCUGGACUAUGAUGCGAAGAAGAAAACAUUCAUUCGGGUCCAUCCGGAGUUGGUAGCAAAGAUGAAACCCCAUCAGAAAGAGGGCAUCAAGUUCAUGUACGAUUGCUGCUAUGGGGGUAGUUUGGGAAGUCAGUCCGCUGGAUCCGGAUCGAUUUUGGCGCAUUGCAUGGGUCUCGGUAAAACCAUGCAGGUCAUCGCUCUGAUGAACACAGUGAUUUGCUAUCCCCAACUAAACACGAAGCGAAUUAUUGUGGUUUGUCCCAAGUCCACCGUGAUGAAUUGGGUUCAAGAAAUUCGCCACUGGUUGGGUGACAUUCAAAGCGACGUUAGCGUUCAGAUUUUCUACUUGCCAGAUAACUCUAACAUCUACAAGAAAAUGGAGGUGCUAAGAGGAUUUCACAACGUGACCGGCAAAAAUGCCCACUGUUUGCUAAUCGGCUAUGAAGCAUUUCGCGCGUUGGUGUUCUACGAUGCCAAGAAUAAGAAUGGCGAGCAGCAUUCCGAACGCGUCCGCACCGAAGUGCGUCGAAUCCUGAUCAAUCCAGGACCAGAUCUGAUGGUCUUGGAUGAAGGUCAUAUAAUCAAAAAUCGGAAAUCUCAAACCAACCUAUCCGUCUCGGAAGUGGCUACCAAACGACGGAUUAUUCUGACUGGAACACCCAUUCAGAAUAAUCUCAAUGAGUAUUUUUGCAUGGUGAGCUUUGUAAAACCGGCUUACUUGGGCAACGAGCGGGAGUUUAACGAGAAUUAUGCAAAGCCGAUUAAGGACGGCCAGCAUAAGGAUUCCAACGUAGCCGAUAUUCGCUUUAUGAAGAUGAAGUCGUUCAUUCUUCACAAGCACUUAGCCAGCUUUGUGCAACGGAAAGAGUUUUCCGUUUUGGAAGGUUUCCUACCGGAAAAGUUCGAAUACGUGUUGUACGUUCCGUUGACACCGGUGCAGGAGGAUUUGUAUGAGCAGUAUCUCAAACGGAAUCCGUUCCGGAAGGAUGUCGGAGGUAGAAAUCUGCUAGAGGACUACACUUUCAUGCGCAAGAUCUGGACACACCCGAUCGUACUGGAGCGAGCGUGGGAGAAUGCUAUGAAGAAAAAGUACGGUAUCAAGGAGAAGCGCCGUGCCGCCCGUCGGGUGCGAGGAUUCGACAGUAGCUCGGAGGACGACGACGAUAACGACGCAGACAAUGCGCGAUCUAUUACGAACGUAUGGUGGAAGCAAAUGAUCAGCAAGGAUGAUUUCGAGUCUCUGUUCCCAAGUAACAAAAUGCUGCUGCUAUUCGAAAUCCUUCGAAUGUGUCAGGAGCAUGGCGAAAAAUGCUUAAUCUUCUCUGGCUUUGUGAUGGUCUUGAACAUGGUAGAGCAUUUUAUGAAGAUGAUUGAUGAGCAGAGCAAGAACCCGAAGGCCCAGCUGUAUGGAUUUUCGCGAUUCCGAGGGCCCUGGCGGCCGGGAAUGGAUUACUACCGCCUAGAUGGCGGUACUUCCAAAUCCAUCCGGCAUGAAAUGAUAACGAAGUUUAACGAUCCAAAGAACCGAGUGACGCGAGUAUUCCUCAUUUCCACCAAGGCUGGUGGACAGGGAAUCAAUUUGGUAGGGGCCAACCGUGUUGUGAUUUUGGAUACGUCUUGGAAUCCGGCUGUAGAUCAGCAAGGAAUUUUCCGGAUCUAUCGCUUGGGACAACAGAAGUCCUGCUACAUUUAUCGUCUGCUGGCGAUUCAUACGAUGGAGGAGAAAGUCUACUCCCGUGCUGUCACUAAACAAGCAAUGAGUCACCGGGUGGCCGACAAGAAACAGGUGGACCGCAAUUACAACAUGGCAGAACUUGAGGAACUGUACCACUUUGAACGCGUCAACAUGAGUGCCCGUCCCAUAUCGGCCCCAGCGGUGGAUGAUGUACUGUCCACUUUGUUGCUGAAAUUUCCCAAGCUUAUCUUUCGAUACCACACGCACGAAACCAUGCUCGACAAUAAGACCGAGCAAGAUUUGACAGACAUAGAGAAAGAGCUUGCGUGGACCGAGUUCAAGAAGAAGGCACUAACGAUUAAUAUGGAUUUUGGUAUAGGAGACGACCAGGGCGGUGAUCUAGGCAAGACUGAUUCCCAGCUGUCCGAGAUGGACGUAGAUUCGGAGCUGCAGAACAUGUUCGAGAAAUCCUGCGUUCCGAAGUGUGAGGUACCGGAACCAGAUCCGUUUGACAUCAACAAAACACCGUUGGCCAUACCAGUUAGACCAUCCUUCGGGAAGAAGUUCAAUGAAAAACUUCUGGACGUGGACCCAGAACCGGUUGAGGACGAGGGUGCAAUCUUUGGGGAAGAUCCGUACAAUGAACUUAGCGUAGGCGGAAGCAUAAUUGAGGAACAACGUAAGAAGCUAAGCAUUAAACAAGAAUCUGAUACACAAACAUCUUCUCAGGUUACUGUAAGCGAAGACGAAAUUGGUCUGCUGCGUACCCUUGAAGAAGAAAGUGGUUCGGCGAUUGAACCAGUUCAAAUCAAGCAGAAACCUCUGGGAUACAUCGCACAAGACGUCUUCCGUGAUGCUCCUGUCAUAGAUUCGAUUGAAAUGUUGGAUCUGUCGUACGAAGGCGCCGAUGAGGUGCUGGAGCCAGCAGAACCAAUGCUCUCGGUUGAGGAACCGGAACUUACCGAGCCAUCGACUUCGGUGGAUGUCAGCACCGAUACGCUAUCAUCGAUGAUAGAAUAUGAUCCUAUCUCGAGUAGCCAGGAUAAUGGCACAUGCGCCAGCACCAUUUAUCAUUCGGACCUUUCGGAAACAAUACCGAUUGACGGUAGCGUUACCGAUCCCUCUACGUACGAGACAUUCGAAGCUUGUUUGAAUACUGAUCCGAAUGCAGCAACGAGUACAACAGCGGCACCGUCGGUGGUGCUUGUAGUUUCUGCCAUGGGUAGUCCCGCAGUGCUUAAAGCGACCGUCGAACCUCCGAUGACACGUAGCAUGAAACGAAAGAUGAUGGCGGCAAGCAGCUCUGCUGUUAAGCCGAAGAAAGCGAAGAUGUGUCCCGGCAAUAAUUGCAGUGAGCUGUCGAAAAGCUCAACCGCCUACCAAUCGAACCAAUGUCGAUCUCUAGUCCCGUAUGUCGGUCGACGUAUCACUAUCAGUGUCCAUCUAAAGCAGUAUCUUGAUCAGAACCUUAAAGCUCCUAUUUCAACGAACAGUUGUCGCACCGUCGUACCCUAUGUGAAACGGGUAUCCUUGCUUGAGGACAUUCUGCAUCGGAUUGGCUCAUCUCUACUGCCGGGUGCUCAGGUAGACAAUGAUGUCAUCGGUGUGGAAAGAAGCUCUUCUCAAGCCGUAUGUCAAACGACUACCCUCUCUUGGAAUGGUGAGGAUGUAAAUUUUGCCGAUUUGGAAAGUUGCUAUGAUGAAUCGAGUGGUCUGUAUUACACAGCUGAUACGGAUUUCUAUGCGAUCCACGAUGACAGCGAUCAUUUGACACUCACGCAAUGCACGCUUCCGGAUUCCCAACAUGUGUAUACCCAGCAAGCAAUCGCUCAGCACGAUAAUGAAGAAUUCAUGAAUGAUCUGGAGGAAUUGCGUGCCGCUCUAUCGGAUGAGAUCCAACCCGAUACAAGCGAGGCUAAUUGCUCGGCAGUCGUCGUGUAUAAUCCUCCUGUAUCUCUGUGGGAUCAACGAAAGCAUGAGCAUUUACUGAGCGAAACAGCUCCAAUGGCAAUUUAUCGUCCAGUUCGUUCGUUCUGGGAUCAAAGGGAAUACCGAAUGCGUCUGUACCAUGCCGAACGUAAGCGACAAAUUAUUCGCAAUCAGCGGAAUAAGUGCUAUCGAUUUAUUCCAUACGACAAGGACGAUCGGAAAUGGUGCAAGAAAACUCCACCUGUCGAUGAACAAGUUGCCGCCAUAUCUACGGGGUGUUCAUCUAUAAUGCAACCAACCGAUGGCAUGCCAACAAACAAAGGCAGCAUGGCGUUGCUACCGUAUUCUGGAAAUUCCAUUCUGGAUGCAAUUCAAGAGAACAAAUCCUUUUUUAAACCCAAAUCGGUCAUGCUGUGCUCGAGAUUGGUUGAAUAUUUGACGUUCUGCCGAAAUGUAACAUGUCAGUCGACGUCGCAGGGGAUGGACAGCCCUAAGGCACAACGUGGAAUCAAACGAAGAUACGAGAACAUCAAGGUAGUGACGAAGAAGUGGAAAGGAUCAGAAUCGAAAGUUGCUCCAAAAACGGUGCUGGGGGAAAGAAACCAAUGAAAACUACAACUCCAGCUCAUUUGCUCACAAGGACAUUCGAUGAAUGAUAUGCACAUUAAGAUAACUAUGUCGAAAAUGGUCAAGAAGAUACUCAUUCGAUUCAGUUGAUGGCUCAUCUACAGGAAGAAUAGCAUUUGCUUUGCGUUUGAUUUUCUUUCAAUUAGUCAAUU